CCUACGGGAGGCAGCAGUAGGGAAUCUUGGACAAUGGGGGAAACCCUGAUCCAGCCAUGCCGCGUGAGUGAAGAAGGCCUUAGGGUCGUAAAGCUCUUUCGCCUGUGAUGAUAAUGACAGUAGCAGGUAAAGAAACCCCGGCUAACUCCGUGCCAGCAGCCGCGGUAAUACGGAGGGGGUUAGCGUUGUUCGGAAUUACUGGGCGUAAAGCGCGCGUAGGCGGAUUGGAAAGUUGGGGGUGAAAUCCCGGGGCUCAACCCCGGAACUGCCUCCAAAACUGCCAGUCUAGAGUUCGAGAGAGGUGAGUGGAAUUCCAAGUGUAGAGGUGAAAUUCGUGGAUAUUUGGAAGAACACCAGUGGCGAAGGCGGCUCACUGGCUCGAUACUGACGCUGAGGUGCGAAAGUGUGGGGAGCAAACAGGAUUAGAUACCCUGGUAG
rnacentral:rRNA from 1 species